rnacentral:rRNA from 1 species
UGAGGAAUAUUGGACAAUGGAUGGAAAUCUGAUCCAGCCAUGCCGCGUGCAGGAAGACGGCCCUAUGGGUUGUAAACUGCUUUUAUACGGGAGCAAUAAGGUCUACGAGUAGGCCGAUGAGAGUACCGUAUGAAUAAGCACCGGCUAACUCCGUGCCAGCAGCCGCGGUAAUACGGAGGGUGCGAGCGUUAUCCGGAUUUAUUGGGUUUAAAGGGUGCGUAGGCGGUUUGUUAAGUCAGCGGUGAAAGUUUUCAGCUUAACUGGAAAAAUGCCGUUGAUACUGAGAGGCUGGAAUAUGGUUGCUGUGGGUGGAAUGUGUGGUGUAGCGGUGAAAUGCUUAGAUAUCACACAGAAUAUCGAUUGCGAAGGCAGCUCACAAAGCCAUUAUUGACGCUGAUGCACGAAAGUGUGGGGAUCAAACA